GGAGGGCUUAUUCGGCUUUCAAUUAAACUACUGCAAAUUGAUGAAGAAUUUCGUAUAUCCCAAGGAGUUAAAAAUGCAGUGGACCUCUGUGCAGCUCCAGGCAGUUGGAACCAAGUUUUAACCAGAAAGAAAACAUAAUAAAGAUGAAAAUGUUUCUGCUAAAAUUUUCGCUAUAGAUUUGAAAGUGAUGGCACCUUUACCUGGUGUCAUUCAAAAUCAAGGUGACAUCACACAGUUAUCUACAGCAGGCAGAUUUGGCAUAUUUGGUUGUCUGUGAUGGUGCACCAGAUGGUAUUUAUAGCUUACUUCCUAGUUUACCAACUGAAGAUUGGAGACUUUGGCCUUGCAACAAAGUUAGAUUUUGAUGGUGAAUGGCAAAAUUUUGUGCAAAAAAUGUCACAGUUAUGAAGUGGAUCGUAUCCACAUCAUAUCCUCACAUUAACCCAUGUAAAUAAAAUAUAUUUACAUACACAUUACAUAAAAUAAAAUUCAUGAAGCACUGC